UACGUAGGGGGCGAGCGUUGUCCGGAUUCAUUGGGCGUAAAGCGCGCGUAGGCGGCUCCGCAAGUCGGCCGUGAAAUCUCCGGGCUCAACUCGGAGGGGUCGGGCGAGACUGCGGGGCUCGAGGUGGGCAGAGGGCAGUGGAAUUCCGGGUGUAGUGGUGGAAUGCGUAGAGAUCCGGAGGAACACCGGUGGCGAAGGCGGCAUCCUGGACCGGCAUUGACGCUGAGGCGCGAAAGCCAGGGGAGCAAACGGG
rnacentral:rRNA from 1 species